GACGGAGGGGGCUAGCGUUGUUCGGAAUUACUGGGCGUAAAGCGCACGUAGGCGGCUUUGCAAGUUAGAGGUGAAAGCCCGGGGCUCAACUCCGGAAUUGCCUUUAAAACUGCAUCGCUAGAAUUGUGGAGAGGUAAGUGGAAUUCCGAGUGUAGAGGUGAAAUUCGUAGAUAUUCGGAAGAACACCAGUGGCGAAGGCGACUCGCUGGACAAGUAUUGACGCUGAGGUGCGAAAGCGUGGGGAGCAAACAGG
rnacentral:rRNA from 1 species